rfam:Morus notabilis contig2333, whole genome shotgun sequence.
GUUGAGAUGGCCGAGUUGGUCUAAGGCGCCAGAUUAAGGUUCUGGUCCGAAUCCCACUCUCAACA